GACAGAGGUCCCAAGCGUUAGGCGGAAUCACUGGGCUUAAAGCGUGUGUAGGCGGAUUUGUAAGUACCUUGUGAAAUCCCACGGCUCAACCGUGGAACUGCUUGGUAUACUGCUUAUCUUGGGUCGUCUAGGGGCGAGCGGAACAAACGGUGGAGCGGUGAAAUGCGUAGAUAUGACCCGGAACACCGAUUGCGAAGGCAGCCCGCUAAGCAACUAUUGACGCUGAGGCACGAAAGCGUGGGGAUCAAACAGG
rnacentral:rRNA from 1 species